rnacentral:rRNA from 1 species
CCUACGGGUGGCAGCAGUAGGGAAUAUUUCACAAUGGGCGAAAGCCUGAAGCAGCAACGCCGCGUGCAGGAUGAAGGCCCUCCGGUUGUAAACUGUUUUUUUAAACGAGAAAUAUGAAGGUAACUUAUGAAUAAGGAUCGGCUAACUACGUGCCAGCUGCGGUGGUCAUACGUGGGAUCCGAGCAUUAUCCGGAGUGACUGGGUGUAAAGAGGUGCAUAAGUGGGAUAAUAAGUUGCUAGUGAAAUCUGGGGGCUCAACCAUUAAGACUAUUAGCUAAACUGUUAGGCUCGAGAACGUUAGGGGUAAGUGGAAUUUGUGGUGUAGCAGUGAAAUGCGUAGAUAUUAGGAAGAACACCGAUAGCGAAGGCAGCUUACUAGGACGGUACUGACACUGAGGCACGAAAGCGUAGGUAGCAAACGGGAUUAGAUACCCCUGUAGUC